rnacentral:rRNA from 1 species
AUUGAACGCUGGCGGCAGGCCUAACACAUGCAAGUCGAGCGAGCGGCGGACGGGUGCGUAAUGCUAGGGAAUUGUCCAGUCGCGGGGGAUAACAGUUGGAAAUGACUGCUAAUACCGCAUACGAUUGUAUUGCUCAGGUGGGAUUAGCUAGUUGGUGAGGUAAUGGCUCACCAAGGCGACGAUCCCUAGCUGGUCUGAGAGGAUGAUCAGCCACACUGGAACUGAGACACGGUCCAGACUCCUACGGGAGGCAGCAGUAGGGAAUAUUGCACAAUGGGGGAAACCCUGAUGCAGCCAGGCCGCGUGUGUGAAGAAGGCCUUCGGGUUGUAAAGCACUUUCAGCGGGGAGGCGUUACCCACAGAAGAAGCACCGGCUAACUCCGUGCCAGCAGCCGCGGUAAUUC